UACGGGAGGCAGCAGUGAGGAAUUUUGCGCAAUGGGGGAAACCCUGACGCAGCAACGCCGCGUGAGUGAUGAAGGCUUUCGGGUCGUAAAACUCUGUCAAGUGGGAAGAAACUGCCGCGGGCUAAUACCGCGCGGUACUGACGGUACCACUGAAGGAAGCACCGGCUAACUCCGUGCCAGCAGCCGCGGUAAUAA
rnacentral:rRNA from 1 species